rnacentral:rRNA from 1 species
GACGAACGUUGGCGGCGUGCUUAACACAUGCAAGUCGAACGGAAAGGCCCUGCUUUUGUGGGGUGCUCGAGUGGCGAACGGGUGAGUAACACGUGAGUAACCUGCCCUUGACUUUGGGAUAACUUCAGGAAACUGGGGCUAAUACCGGAUAGGAGCUCCUGCUGCAUGGUGGGGGUUGGAAAGUUUCGGCGGUUGGGGAUGGACUCGCGGCUUAUCAGCUUGUUGGUGGGGUAGUGGCUUACCAAGGCUUUGACGGGUAGCCGGCCUGAGAGGGUGACCGGCCACAUUGGGACUGAGAUACGGCCCAGACUCCUACGGGAGGCAGCAGUGGGGAAUAUUGCACAAUGGGCGGAAGCCUGAUGCAGCAACGCCGCGUGCGGGAUGACGGCCUUCGGGUUGUAAACCGCUUUCGCCUGUGACGAAGCGUGAGUGACGGUAAUGGGUAAAGAAGCACCGGCUAACUACGUGCCAGCAGCCGCGGUGAUACGUAGGGUGCGAGCGUUGUCCGGAUUUAUUGGGCGUAAAGGGCUCGUAGGUGGUUGAUCGCGUCGGAAGUGUAAUCUUGGGGCUUAACCCUGAGCGUGCUUUCGAUACGGGUUGACUUGAGGAAGGUAGGGGAGAAUGGAAUUCCUGGUGGAGCGGUGGAAUGCGCAGAUAUCAGGAGGAACACCAGUGGCGAAGGCGGUUCUCUGGGCCUUUCCUGACGCUGAGGAGCGAAAGCGUGGGGAGCGAACAGGCUUAGAUACCCUGGUAGUCCACGCUGUAAACGGUGGGUACUAGGUGUGGGGUCCAUUCCACGGGUUCCGUGCCGUAGCUAACGCUUUAAGUACCCCGCCUGGGGAGUACGGCCGCAAGGCUAAAACUCAAAGGAAUUGACGGGGCCCCGCACAAGCGGCGGAGCAUGCGGAUUAAUUCGAUGCAACGCGUAGAACCUUACCUGGGUUUGACAUGGAUCGGGAGCGCUCAGAGAUGGGUGUGCCUCUUUUGGGGUCGGUUCACAGGUGGUGCAUGCCUGUCGUCAGCUCGUGUCGUGAGAUGUUGGGUUAAGUCCCGCAACGAGCGCAACCCUUGUUCACUGUUGCCAGCACGUUAUGGUGGGGACUCAGUGGAGACCGCCGGGGUCAACUCGGAGGAAGGUGGGGAUGACGUCUAGUCCUCAUGCCCCUUAUGUCCAGGGCUUCACGCAUGCUACAAUGGCUGGUACAGAGAGUGGCGAGCCUGUGAGGGUGAGCGAAUCUCGGAAAGCCGGUCUCAGUUCGGAUUGGGGUCUGCAACUCGACCUCAUGAAGUCGGAGUCGCUAGUAAUCGCAGAUCAGCAACGCUGCGGUGAAUACGUUCCCGGGGCU